rnacentral:tRNA from 22 species
GCCCGAGUGGCGGAAUGGCAGACGCGGCGGUCUCAAAAACCGUUGUCCUAGACGUGCGGGUUCAAAUCCCGCCUCGGGCACCA